rnacentral:rRNA from 1 species
AUUGAACGCUGGCGGCAUGCCUUACACAUGCAAGUCGAGCGGCAGCGCGGGAGCAAUCCUGGCGGCGAGCGGCGAACGGGUGAGUAAUGCUUCGGAAUCUGCCCUUCAGUGGGGAAUAACCAGUCGAAAGACUGGCUAAUACCGCAUACGAACUGAGGUUGAAAGCAGGGGAUCGCAAGACCUUGCGCUGAUGGAUGAGCCGAAGUCGGAUUAGCUUGUUGGUGGGGUAAUGGCCUACCAAGGCGACGAUCCGUAGCUGGUCUGAGAGGACGACCAGCCACACUGGGACUGAGACACGGCCCAGACUCCUACGGGAGGCAGCAGUGGGGAAUAUUGGACAAUGGGGGCGAACCCUGAUCCAGCGACGCCGCGUGUGUGAAGAAGGCCUGCGGGUUGUAAAGCACUUUUAGUGGGGAGGAAGGGUCUGCGACCUAACACGUCGUGGAAUUGACUUAACCCACAGAAAAGCACCGGCUAACUCUGUGCC